rnacentral:rRNA from 1 species
UACAGAGGGUGCUAGCGUUGUUCGGAAUUAUUGGGCGUAAAGGGCGCGUAGGCGGCCCUGUGUGUCGGGUGUGAAAGCCCACCUCUUAAAGGUGGAAUUGCAUUCGAAACUACAGGGCUGGAGUGUCGGAGAGGAUGGCGGAAUUCCUGGUGUAGAGGUGAAAUUCGUAGAUAUCAGGAGGAACACCGGUGGCGAAGGCGGCCAUCUGGACGACAACGUGACGCUGAGGCGGCGAAAGC